rnacentral:rRNA from 1 species
GAGAAUAGCCCGAAGAAAUUCGGAUUACUGCUCCAUGAGACCACAAUAGCCCAUGAUAUAUGCUGCGUAAAAGCUCCGGCUGUCAAGGAUGGGCAUGCCUGCCAUUAGCAUAGUUGCGUGAGGUUACGGCUCACCAACACACCGAUGGCUAGGGGGUCUGAGAGGAUGCAUCCCCCACACUGGAACUGAGACACGGACCAUACUCCUACGGGAGGCAGCAGUGAGCGAAUAUUGAGUCCAUGGAACGCAAGUCUGAACCAGCCAUGCCCCGCUCCAGGAUGAAUGCCCUAUCGCUUGUAAACUGCUUUUCUACAAGAAGAAACUUCCUGCAUGCUCAGGAACUGACGGUAUUGUAGGAAUAAGCAUCGACUAACUCCGUGCCAGCAGCCGCGGUAAUACGGAGGAUGCAAGCGUUAUCCGGAUUCCUUGGGUUUAAAGGGUGCGUAGGCGGUGUAGUAAGUCAGUGGUGAAAGCCUGCGGCUUAACCGUAGAAUUGCCAUUGACACUGCUAUUCUUGAGUGCAGUGAUAGUAGGCGGAAUGUGUAAUGUAGCGGUGAAAUGCUUAGAUAUUACACAGAACACCGAUGUCGUAGGCAGCUUCAUCAACUGUUACUGACGCUGAGACACGAAAGCGUCAGGAGCUAACACAAUUAGAUAGCCUGGUAGUUCACGCUGUAAACUAUGAUCACUCGCUGUUGGCGAUACAUUGUCAGCGGCUGAGCGAAAUCAGUAAGUGAUCCACCUGGCGAGUACGGCCGCAAGGUUGUAAGUCAAAGGAAUUGACGGGGGCCCGCACAACCGAUGGAACAUGUGGUUUAAUUUGAUGAUAAGCGAGGUACCUUACCUGGGCUUAAUUGCAGAACGACGUACCGGGUAACUGGUACUCCCUUCGGGGCGGACUGCAAGGUGCUGCAUGGUUGUCGUCAGCUCGUGCCGUGAGGUGUCGGUUUAAGUCCCAUAACGAGCGCGACCCUCAUUGUUAGUUGCCAGCGAGUAAUUUCGGGGACUCUAACGAAACUGCCGGUGUAAACCGUGAGGAAGGUGGGGAUGACGUCAAAUCAGCACGGCCCUUAUGUCCAGGGCUACACACGUGUUACAAUGGCCAGUUCAAAGGGCAGCU